rnacentral:rRNA from 1 species
GGUUGCGAUCAUACCAGCACUAAUGUACCGGAUCCCAUCAGAACUCCGUAGUUAAGCGUGCUUGGGCGAGACUAGUACUAGGAUGGGUGACCCCUUGGGAAGUCCUCAUGUUUGAAACCC